AGUGAACGCUGGCGGUAGGCCUAACACAUGCAAGUCGAACGGCAGCACAGUAAGAGCUUGCUCUUACGGGUGGCGAGUGGCGGACGGGUGAGGAAUACAUCGGAAUCUACUUUUUCGUGGGGGAUAACGUAGGGAAACUUACGCUAAUACCGCAUACGACCUACGGGUGAAAGCAGGGGAUCUUCGGACCUUGCGCGAUUGAAUGAGCCGAUGUCGGAUUAGCUAGUUGGCGGGGUAAAGGCCCACCAAGGCGACGAUCCGUAGCUGGUCUGAGAGGAUGAUCAGCCACACUGGAACUGAGACACGGUCCAGACUCCUACGGGAGGCAGCAGUGGGGAAUAUUGGACAAAGGGCGCAAGCCUGAUCCAGCCAUACCGCGUGGGUGAAGAAGGCCUUCGGGCUGUAAAGCCAUUUUGUUGGGAAAGAAAAGCAGCAGGUUAAUACCCCGCUGUUCUGACGGUACCCAAAGAAUAAGCACCGGCUAACUUCGUG
rnacentral:rRNA from 1 species